AUUGAACGCUGGCGGCAGGCCUAACACAUGCCAGUCGAGCGGAUGAAGGGAGCUUGCUCCUGGAUUCAGCGGCGGACGGGUGAGUAAUGCCUAGGAAUCUGCCUGGUAGUGGGGGAUAACGUCCGGAAACGGGCGCUAAUACCGCAUACGUCCUGAGGGAGAAAGUGGGGGAUCUUCGGACCUCACGCUAUCAGAUGAGCCUAGGUCGGAUUAGCUAGUUGGUGGGGUAAAGGCCUACCAAGGCGACGAUCCGUAACUGGUCUGAGAGGAUGAUCAUUCACACUGGAACUGAGACACGGUCCAGACUCGUACGGGAGGCAGCAGUGGGGAAUAUUGGACAAUGGGCGAAAGCCUGAUCCAGCCAUGCCGCGUGUGUGAAGAAGGUCUUCGGAUUGUAAAGCACUUUAAGUUGGGAGGAAGGGCAGUAAGUUAAUACCUUGCUGUUUUGACGUUACCAACAGAAUAAGCACCGGCUAACUUCGUG
rnacentral:rRNA from 1 species